rnacentral:lncRNA from 1 species
AUAGAUAGGCUUGUCUGAUCGUUGAGCACUGCACCAGAAAUCGUAGUCUGCCAGGAGAGUCAAGGUAAACUCGAGAGCUAUCGAGGUAGAAUCGUAGUCUGCAAGAUAGUUGAUCUCGGAGUUCGUAGACUUCCAAGAGAGACGAGAAAGGAUCGUAGUGUGUCGAGGAGAACUUCCUCAGGACCGUAGUCUGCUGAGGAAGUCAUGUUCUGAAUCAUAGAGACAGCCUGCCUACAAGCCGACCGAGCAUCUGCCGAAAACAAGUAAAGAAUCGUAGACUACACUCGGAGUCGUAGAAUCUACUCGGUCAAGUAAGGGAUCGUAGACUACAC